rnacentral:rRNA from 1 species
CAAAUAGUAUGUUGACGUAUUCUGAAAGGGAUACUUCUUCGGACAAUAUACAAGUGCUGCAUGGUUGUCGUCAGCUCGUGCCGUGAGGUGUCGGGUUAAGUCCCAUAACGAGCGCAACCCCUAUCAUUAGUUGCCAUCAGGUCAAGCUGGGGACUCUAAUGAAACUGCCUACGCAAGUAGUGAGGAAGGUGGGGAUGACGUCAAAUCAGCACGGCCCUUACGUCCAGGGCUACACACGUGCUACAAUGGCCGGUACAACGGGCAGCGAAGGAGCGAUCCGGAGCGAAUCCUAAAAAGCCGGUCCCAGCUCGGAUUGCAGGCUGAAACUCGCCUACAUGAAGUUGGAGUUGCUAGUAAUCGCGAAUCAGAAUGUCGCGGUGAAUGCGUUCCCGGGUCUU